rnacentral:misc_RNA from 1 species
GAUGAAGAACGUAGCGAAAUGCGAUAAGUAAUGUGAAUUGCAGAAUUCAGUGAAUCAUCGAAUCUUUGAACGCACAUUGCGCCCCUUGGUAUUCCGAGGGGCAUGCCUGUUCGAGCGUCAUUAUAACCCCUCAAGCUCAGCUUGGUGUUGGGGCCUGCUGCACUGGCAGCCCUUAAAAUCAGUGGCGGCGCCAUCUGGCUCUAAGCGUAGUAAUUCUUCUCGCUAUGGAGUCCUGGUGGAUGCUUGCCAUCAACCCCCAAUUUUUCUAUGGUUGACCUCGGGUCAGGUAGGGAUACCCGCUGAACUUAAGCAUAUCAAUAAGCGGAGGA